AUUGAACGCUGGCGGCAGGCCUAACACAUGCAAGUCGAACGAGUGGCGGACGGGUGAGUAAUGUCUGGGAAACUGCCUGAUGGAGGGGGAUAACUACUGGAAACGGUAGCUAAUACCGCAUACCAUCGGAUGUGCCCAGAUUGGAUUAGCUAGUAGGUGGGGUAAAGGCUCACCUAGGCGACGAGCCCUAGCUGGUCUGAGAGGAGGACCAGCCACACGUGAACUGAGACACGGUCCAGAUUCCUACGGGAGGCAGCAGUGGGGAAUAUUGCACAAUUGGCGCAAGCCUGAUGCAGCCAUGCCGCGUGUAUGAUGAAGGCCGUCGGGUUGUAAAGUACUUUCAGCGGGGAGGCGUUACCCGCAGAAGAAGCACCGUCUAACUCCGUGCCAGCAGCCGCGGUAAUUC
rnacentral:rRNA from 1 species